rnacentral:lncRNA from 1 species
AUCCGCUGCGCUAAACUCUUUAAAAAAUUACCCCCUCCGAUACCAACAAUUGGUAUCAGAGCUUGCUUUGAUAUUCUUUCAAAAUCUUUGCGAAAAUGGCCGGUCACAGUCAAAACUUUGUUUAUGCUGAGGGUGCGUCUAUUAACAGACCUCCGUUGUUUACUGGAGAUAAUUAUGCUUUUUAGAAAGUAAGAAUGGAAGUUUUUAUGGGGUCUGUUGAUAGAGGCAUUUGGGAAGCUGUACAAAAUGACCCUUAUAUUCCUAUGUAUACAGUAGAUGGCGUAGAGACAGUAAAACCUUAUUUUAAUUGGACUGCUGAGGAAAAUAGACGAGCACAGUUUGAUAUUAAAGCUCGUAAUAUUAUUUCAUCUGCUGUUGUGCUUGAUGAAUUUUAUAGAAUCUCUGUGUGUAAGACAGCACAGGAAAUGUGAGAUGUUCUGAGAGUCACACAUGAGGGUACUGAGGACGUGAAACGAGCAAGGAAGAACACUCUCAUUCAAGAAUAUGAGAUGUUCAGAAUGCAACCUGGAGAAUCAAUCUCAGAUGUUCAAAAGCGUUUCACUCACAUAGUGAACCACUUAAUAGGGUUGGGUAAGAUUUUUGAUA